UUUUUUUUGUUUUAUAUUAUUGUUUUUUUUUUUAUAAUUAUUAUAAUGAUUUAACUUAGUUGUCCACAUUUACCAAAAAUGGUACCACCUGAAAAAUCGUGGAGAACAUUCGAUGGUCCAGCAAGCAGUAAACCAGUUGCGCCAAAGUCAACGUUUAAAACACCAACUACACCAAAGACAGAAAAAAGAGUUCAAUCGAUAACCGUUCCCCGGAAAAGUGAACCAAGACCACGCGGAUAUCCAUGCAAUGAAAG